GAUGAAGAACGCAGCGAAAUGCGAUAAGUAGUGUGAAUUGCAGAAUUCAGUGAAUCAUCGAAUCUUUGAACGCACAUUGCGGCCAUAGGUAUUCCUUUGGCCAUGCCUGUUCGAGCGUCAUUUACACCCUCAAGCCUAGCUUGGUGUUGGGCGUCUGUCCCGCCGUUCUCGCGCGCGGACUCGCCCCAAAGUCAUUGGCGGCGGUCGUGCCGGCCCCCUCGCGCAGCACAUUUGCGCUUCUCGGAGGCCCGGCGGAUCCGCGCUCCAGCAAGACCUUUCACGACUUGACCUCGGAUCAGGUAGGGAUACCCGCUGAACUUAAGCAUAUCAAUAAGCGGAGGA
rnacentral:misc_RNA from 1 species